rnacentral:rRNA from 1 species
GAGUUUGAUCCUGGCUCAGAACGAACGCUGGCGGCAGGCCUAACACAUGCAAGUCGAACGCUGUAGCAAUACAGAGUGGCAGACGGGUGAGUAGCACGUGGGAACGUGCCUUUUGGUUCGGAACAACACAGGGAAACUUGUGCUAAUACCGGAUAAGCCCUUACGGGGAAAGAUUUAUCGCCAAAAGAUCGGCCCGCGUCUGAUUAGCUAGUUGGUGGGGUAAUGGCCCACCAAGGCUACGAUCAGUAGCUGGUCUGAGAGGAUGAUCAGCCACACUGGGACUGAGACACGGCCCAGACUCCUACGGGAGGCAGCAGUUAGGAAUCUUGGACAAUGGGCGCAAGCCUGAUCCAGCCAUGCCGCGUGAGUGAUGAAGGCCUUAGGGUUGUAAAGCUCCUUCAGCGGGGAAGAUAAUGACGGUACCCGCAGAAGAAGCCCCGGCUAACUUCGUGCCAGCCGCCGCCGUAAG